rnacentral:rRNA from 1 species
UAGGGAAUCUUCGGCAAUGGACGAAAGUCUGACCGAGCAACGCCGCGUGAGUGAAGAAGGUUUUCGGAUCGUAAAGCUCUGUUGUAAGUCAAGAACGUGUGUGAGAGUGGAAAGUUCACACAGUGACGGUAGCUUACCAGAAAGGGACGGCUAACUACGUGCCAGCAGCCGCGGUAAUACGUAGGUCCCGAGCGUUGUCCGGAUUUAUUGGGCGUAAAGGGAGCGCAGGCGGUCAGGAAAGUCUGGAGUAAAAGGCUAUGGCUCAACCAUAGUGUGCUCUGGAAACUGUCUGACUUGUGGUGCAGAAGGGGAGAGUGGAAUUCCAUGUGUAGCGGUGAAAUGCGUAGAUAUAUGGAGGAACACCAGUGGCGAAAGCGGCUCUCUGGUCUGUCACUGACGCUGAGGCUCGAAAGCGUGGGUAGCGAACAGGAUUAGAUACCCUGGUAGUCCACGCCGUAAACGAUGAGUGCUAGGUGUUAGGCCCUUUCCGGGGCUUAGUGCCGGAGCUAACGCAAUAAGCACUCCGCCUGGGGAGUACGACCGCAAGGUUG